GUGGAUUUAAAUGUUUGUUUUAUGUCGUAAGUAGAAGAAUAAGGUAUUCAUUUAUGUGCCUUAGCCUCACAAUUAUAAGAAGGUUAUUAUCAUGUUUUAUAGAUGACUACAAGCAGGCCUUGAAAAAACUUAGGAAAACCAGGCAGCAGCAUCCCAAAUUACAUUUGAUCUAUAAUUAGAGACAGACCUAAAAUCAAUGCUGCACCUUCUCCCUAUCUUCUUCUCCAUGUAACUCCGGGCCCUGUCACAGAAGGUCACCUGACGUGUUCACGGCACCCACCGAAUCAUCACAGUGCCCACUACAGAGCCAUUGUUUAAGUUCACAGGCAAAAUCCACUGCAGCCACCUCCUAGUGGAUGUUAUGCUUGAACAGAAAGUGCACGAAGUAACAGAUGGCAUCUUGUGACCUUCUUAAUAACAGGCUUGGCUGCCAAUGUUCCCUUGUGUCCAGGCUCUGCAGGGAAUUUGGAAACUGUUGCCUUACACUUGAAUAUUUUCCGGCAAACACAGUUAACCAUUUAUUAGUUAGCUUCCUAAUUUAAAAUAGAGAAAGCAAAACUACACAAAACCAAGUCCCCACCACCUGGAAGGAACACUGCUAUUUCCUGAGUUGGGAGGCCCAUCCUGGGAUUCUUUGGCAUGCGCUCAUAGAAAUCAUGUGGCAUAACUGUCCUUUACAGUGUGGUAUGAAGAGCUCAAUUCCAGGCAAAAAUGGACCUGGAAGGUCUUGUGCCAGAAUGGAAGUGCUGAGAUCUGUCCCUGCCAGACAGUGGGUGUGGAGAGCGUGGUGGAGGAAAGCCAACCAACUAUGGACUGAAACCUCUACAAACUUCUGA
rnacentral:lncRNA from 1 species